UACGUAGGGGCCGAGCGUUGUCCGGAGUUAUUGGGCGUAAAGCGCGCGCAGGCGGCUUCGCGCGCCUGCCGUGAAAGCCCCCGGCUUAACCGGGGAGAGUCGGUGGGGACGGCGGAGCUUGAGGGCGGGAGAGGUCGGUGGAAUUCCCGGUGUAGUGGUGAAAUGCGUAGAGAUCGGGAGGAACACCUGUGGCGAAGGCGGCCGACUGGGCCGACCCUGACGCUGAGGCGCGAAAGCGUGGGGAGCAAACGGG
rnacentral:rRNA from 1 species